CACGGGGGGAGCAAGCGUUGUUCGGAAUUAUUGGGCGUAAAGGGCGUGUAGGCGGUCAAGUAAGUGGAAUGUGAAACGCCUCGGCUUACCCGAGGACCUGCAUCCCAAACUGCUUGGCUUGAGUAUGGGAGAGGAUGAGGGAAUUCCUGGUGUAGCGGUGAAAUGCGUAGAUAUCAGGAGGAACACCGGUGGCGAAAGCGCUCAUCUGGCCCAAUACUGACGCUGAGGCGCGAAAGCUAGGGGAGCAAACGGG
rnacentral:rRNA from 1 species